rnacentral:rRNA from 1 species
UACGUAGGGUGCAAGGCGUUGUCCGGAAUUAUUGGGCGUAAAGAGCUCGUAGGCGGUCUGUCGCGUCUGCUGUGAAAACUCAGGGCUUAACCCUGAGCUUGCAGUGGGUACGGGCAAACUAGAGUAUUGCAGGGAGACUGGAAUUCCUGGUGAUAGCGGUGAAAUGCGCAGAUAUCAGGAGGGAACACCGGUGGCGAAGGCGGGUC